rnacentral:lncRNA from 1 species
GAGAAAACCACUUUGGAUGUCUCUGCACCUUUGUGAAGUCUGAGAGUGUUUACAGUGCCUUCACCCGUAGCAAAUGGGAGUAAAAAAAAAGUAAACCUGGACUUUACAGGCCCUACCACUUUGGAUCACACCUGAAUUUCUCAUGCUCCCACUUAUGCAGACUGCAGCUACCCUACAAAUACAGUAAGAAUUACAGUAAGAGCUUCAGUUCUAGAUCAGAUAAUCAACAAAAAAAUUGCUUACAAUAUAUACCACUCACUGCAAGAGAACUUUCUUUCUUGCUGCAGUGGAGCAGAGAGGCAAUGGACAAGAAAGGCUUAAAACAUGAAAAAUUUAACAGCUCUAGGCUUUGACCACCUGAACCAUGCUAGAGGGGUGUUCUCUUCCUUCUGCAAGUACUAACUGGUUAGCAGAUUCACUGGCUAUAAGAAUAGAAUAUCCUGAGUUGGAAGAGACCUACAGGGCUCAUCCAAGUCCAGCUCCUGGCCCUGCACAGGAAAGGCCCAGGAAUCACACCACAUGCCUGAGAGCAUUGUCCAUACGCUUCUUGAAGAAUAAGAAAGACAGUAAGCAGCAACUUACAGCUUGUAACUACAAUCUCCUUGAUAAAACAACCCAACUAUUCCAACAGAUAUCUUUAGAUGGGCUGUAACUCUGCUCUCUCCAUGAAUGCUUUUAACCUCAUCUGUCCUACCAAAACCUGCCAUUAGGUUCUGUUCAGUUGUGAAAAGGACGAAUACAUAAACUUUGGAAACUCUGACCUAAUUCACUAAAAAAAAAUUAAAUCCAUUCUACUGAGAUAAAACUAAAGACUCAGGAAUAAAGAUGCUGCAUUUCUUUGCCCUGAUCA